UCUAAGCCUAGUACAGUAAGAAAACUAAAUACAGAUAAAAUCUCACCCUCAGAGAUGUUUCAAUAAGCUUCCAUCACAGACUGGACACCUUCCUAGUCUGGGCACUAUCCUUUCCCCUGGUACAGUCUUUGUUACAGCUCAGUUGUUAGUUAGGGGAUUUCUCAUGACUGCAGCCCCCUUUGUUCUGUUCCACCCCCUUAUAUAGCUUUUGCACAAGGUGGGAAUCCUUUGUCCCUCUCUGGGUUCCCACCCCUCCUUCUAAAUGGAAAAGCACCAGGUUAAAGAUGGAUUAGGGUUCAGGUGACAUGAGCACAUGUUACUGUAAGACUUCAUUACCCACUUGCCAGCACUCAGGUAUACAGGAAGACUUACAAGUAAACAGAGCCAUCUACAGUCAAUUGUCCUAGUUGAUGAGAGCCAUCAAGAUUCCAAACCACCAUUAAUGAUCCACACUUUGCAUAAUUACAAUAGGCCCUCAGAGUUAUAUUUCAUAUUUCUAGUUUCAGAUUCAAGAAUGAUACAUGUAUACAAAUAGGAUGACCACACUUAGUGGAUUAUAAACUUACAGACAGGUUUCAGAGGAACAGCCGUGUUAGUCUGUAUUCGCAAAAAGAAAAGGAGUACUUGUGGCACCUUAGAGACUAACAAAUUUAUUUGAACAUAUCUUGAUUUUAGUAAGGCUUUCGACAAGUCCCUCAUAAGCAAACUAGGGAAAUGUGUGUAUAUGUGUAACCCCCAAGGAGAUUACUUCGAUUCCUGGGGCUCUGUCUGCCGGCAGCUCAAGGAGAGGCAUGCUGUCCCUGGUAGGGAGGGGGAGCCAAGGCAGACUCAGAGUCCGCCCGGCAACCAAGAGGGAGUGAGAGGCCCUCCCAGGGGGCUCAGAAAAGGGGAGAAGCCAUUUUUGAGUCUGGUCUGGAGCCAACCAGGACAAAGGCAGGACUGGCUGUGUGGGGAGCUGGCGAAUCCCAGGUCUGCAUGGAGGGUUCCCCUUGAGAACUGGCCUCUAGGGACCUGACAGCAAGAUCCCUCAGCUGGGCUUUUCCUUCUGCACUGAUGACUCCCAGUUUGUAGAGUUUUGCUGGGAAAGUUCCCCAGCCAGGCUGAGUUCGCCCUCCAGCUCCCUAGGUGAGACCAGCCACCACAUGGUCAGCUCUGCUCUGGCUGCUAGUCCAGGGUUGCUGCCUGCUGCGAGUGUGUCUGGACGCUGGGCUAGGAGACUAGUUUGGAUUUUAGUACAGUUGUGUAAUCUGCACUUUGAGCCCUGCACCCCUGUGUGGUGAGGGGAAAUCCUGAGACCAAAAGCAGCCUGACUCCUGACUGAAGAGGAUCCCUGCCAGCAGAGAUCAGCCCCUCUGCAGUGACCGAGGAGUCAAGAGUCUGAACCUGAGGAUCGUUCAUGGAGUUUGAAAGUGAAUCUGCCCAGGAGUGCCGCGGAGCCUGAGCAGCCAGAGCCAGCGAGUCCCGUGGCCGAGCAAUGGCAGCCAUCAGAAAGAAGCUGGUGGAUUGUGGGAGAUGGUGGCUGUGGCAAGACCUGCCCGCUGAUCAUGUUCAGCAAGGACCAGUUCUCUGAGGUCUACAUGCCAACAGUCUUUGAGAACUACACUGCUGAUAUCGAAGUAGAUGGAAAGCAGGUGGAACUGGCCCUUUGUGACACAAAAAAUAAAAAUGCACAAUAAGUAUGUGUGGGCAGGUUAGAGAUCUGGGAAUCUCUCCCCACAAUUAUUUCUC